rnacentral:rRNA from 1 species
GACGAACGCUGGCGGCGUGCCUAAUACAUGCAAGUCGAACGCUUCUUUCCUCCCGAGUGCUUGCACUCAAUUGGAAAGAGGAGUGGCGGACGGGUGAGUAACACGUGGGUAACCUACCCAUCAGAGGGGGAUAACACUUGGAAACAGGUGCUAAUACCGCAUAACAGUUUAUGCCGCAUGGCAUAAGAGUGAAAGGCGCUUUCGGGUGUCGCUGAUGGAUGGACCCGCGGUGCAUUAGCUAGUUGGUGAGGUAACGGCUCACCAAGGCCACGAUGCAUAGCCGACCUGGGUGGGGGAUCGGCCACACUGGGACUGGGACACGGCCCAGACUCCUACGGGAGGCAGCAGUAGGGAAUCUUCGGCAAUGGACGAAAGUCUGACCGAGCAACGCCGCGUGAGUGAAGAAGGUUUUCGGAUCGUAAAACUCUGUUGUUAGAGAAGAACAAGGACGUUAGUAACUGAACGUCCCCUGACGGUAUCUAACCAGAAAGCCACGGCUAACUACGUG